AACGCACCUUGCACCCUUUGGUAUUCCGAAGGGUACACCCGUUUGAGUGUCAUUGUAAUCUCACCUCUUCGACUUUUGUCGAUCUGUGUGGACUUGGAUGUUGCCGUGUAACAAACGGCUCGUCUGAAAUGCCUGAGUGUACCCUGCUUUGCGGCGUAUUCGGUGUGAUAAAUCUUCACCGGAGUCUGACUUUCGAGUCGCGCUUGUGUUGUAUGGCUCUAUGCUUCCAACCGUCCUAACAAGACAAUCUUUGACAAUUUGACCUCAAAUCGGGUGGGACUACCCGCUGAACUUAA
rnacentral:misc_RNA from 1 species